AUUGGUAUGUAAGCUACUUCUUCCAGUAGCUGCGUCAUAACAUCAAGGUUAUGCAUACUGAGCCGAAGCUCAGCUUCGGUCCUCCAAGGAAGACCA
rfam:Poa semilatent virus beta genomic segment beta-A, beta-B, beta-C and beta-D protein genes, complete cds.